CCCUGGUACCUACACCUGCUCCCACUUCUGUCAGUUCACCUGUCGCAGGUACACGUCCACUACCACUCUCACUCUCACUCGUGUUCUUCCAGCUAACCGUCCACCACUGCUGCUACCACCACCACUGCUGAUACUGCCACCACUGCUGCUACCAGCUGCUUGCUACCCCAGAGCCGUGGUUAAGAAGGGUGCGUCAGCACACUACCACGAGUAUAUCACUUGUAAGAGAGGAACCAGGAACGCCGCUUCGCUAUGAAACUCGCGGUGUUAGUGUUGGUGCUGGUGGUGUGUGUUGUGGUGCCUGGCACUGUUGCACAGUAUGGCACUGUGCCUCGCUAUCUCACCAGACAGCCAGACAGAAGAACCAGGCAGUACCUGAGUGCCAACCUGCCCGUCUACCAGCAGCAGUCCUUCCGUAUGACCCGACAGGUCACGGUGACCCGCAGUUCUCUUAUUUUCAAGGUUAAUGUCAGCACCAUGGGAGGAGCAGCCAGCUACUGUAACACUCACUACCUCAUUACAGCAAGCAUUAAUUACAUUAACUAGUUAGUGUGGGCACACGAGUAUCCUGAACCUUUCUCGUUCUAAGCAGAGUUUAGACAAGUCACAUACAGGAUGCUGGAUUGGGCUGGGUCUGCUACGUGAUGGUUAUUAAAGCGGUUGUAACCUAUUUACAAUCAGACAAGAAUAUUCUAAUCUCUAAAAUAGGGAUUAAAUUGAAUCCUCAGCGUAUAUAUGCAGAGAGAAAUAUACUUCUCGGUUUAUAUAUCCCUUGAUGGAGAGGAUAACACUGACCAUAUAUGAAUACUGGUUGAAGGAAACAAGGAAUUAGCCAUUACGAUAUCUGGUUGUUUCUGAUCAUUGGGUCUGAUGCAGUGCUUCUUCCUUCUGAAGUGGAUGUGACUUGGACGUGACUGGCUUGGGCCAGUGGGUGACUAGGACUUGCCUAGCAUGGGCCAGUAGGCAUGCCGCAGUGUUCCUUAUUUCUUAUGUUCUAGAUCUGUGUCGAGGUGAAGAUCAUGUUAAUAGUGGUUGGCAGAGACGUCAGCUGAUCAAGAAUUCAACGAAGUGUAAAAAAGUCGGUGGACUAUGAGAUGUGGGUCAGGUCCCUGGGUCGUUAAUGAAUGUCCAGGUCCUGGGGAAGAGGGGAUGAUGUUGCUGUUGUAGAGCCACUGAUAGCGUACGCCGUAUCGAACCCGGCUGUCCAGUACCCGGAAAAAAACUCGACCAAAGUGGAAGGAAGUUGACUAAGGGAAUGGUGUUGAUGAUGAGAUGUUGAUUGGUUAAAUACCAGCAGUGCUACAAUGGUAUUUGCUUAGCACACGCCCUCCUGCGUAGACGCCUAACACGCACACACGCCUCUACACACUCCCCAAAUACCUUUCCUGAAGCAUCUUUCAGGACCUCAGACUCGACCACCUCAACCUGACGGGAUCUUCUCACUAAUUAUUACGUCUGUGUUCCAGCCCAAACAUGGAACAGUCCCUUAACACCUACUGCCACUCUUUACCUAGCAGUAAAAACAGGUACUACUUAGCAGUAAAAGCAGGUACUACUUGUAGUAACAGCAGGUACUACUUAGGUGCUGGUUAACUUUUGAGAGUCGCAUCCUGGUGAAAAAUUUGUAAUGUAAAUAUGUGAAAAAUUAUAUAAUCAGUGGAAAAUGCCAUUGUGCAAAGCUCCAGACAUUCUGGAGUCCCUAAUGGGCGAAACGUCUUCACAAUAAAAUUGCAUAACCCUCACUGUGUCUUAUUUACUUGUGGUAAUAAGGUUAUUGAAGCUAAACAUUAGGUAGGUAUAAGAAUAAGUUGAAGUAUUUGAGAGAGGUGGAACUGUGGAUGUGAGAAAUAUGCUCUAUAUAUGAGCCAGCAGACAAAUCACAUAUAUAUGAGUUAGAUAUCUUUAUUCCGAUAUCUAACUGUCGCAUAUGUGUCUUACUUAUCCACUUGUCGUUAAUUUAUGGCAUUAUGAUAUUGAUAGACCAGUAGGCCUAUGACAGUGGUCCUAUCUUCUUGUCAGGUGUUGGGUAAAAGUCUGCCGUCCAAUAAGGUGUAUCAAAGGAAAGUAGAGAAAAGUGUACUGGUGUACAAAGAAGGUUGCAGCGCCGCUCUAGGUACAACGAUCCAGAAGUCAAUGCAACAGAUCAUUAGAGAACACUAGCACACAAACACACUCAGAUGUUGCAAUAACAUCACAAUACCCUUCCCCAUUAGCAGUCGAGCCUCUAUAUAAACAUUGCUAAACCAUUGCACCAGGAAUACAAAUCACUCUGCUGUCAGACAGUCGGAGAAUACACGAAUACAUACACAAAUAUAUACAAAAUAUUUGUAGCGAUCAUUUCACAAUAAUCUUGACCGUGAGGAAAAUACACAGCACAACACAUCAGGAUUAUAACAUUGACAUUAUCUUUCCUGGAACGACUCACUGCACUCCCAUAUUCACUGGGAAGUGAAUGUGGUACUUGAAGAGCAGCUGACGGAGUUUUCUCAGUGAAUGCCAAUAUUCAAUACACUAAACCUACUCACCAUACAAAACAUCCAUACUUAUUACUGCACCUAUUACAUACAUAGAACACUUAACUCUGAUAUUAACCCUCCCCUCAAACAUCUCCUUGCCAACCUCAACAGAACACAUGACCAUAACACAAGGCACAGAUCACUCUUUGAUGUUCCUCGUGUCCAUCUCACACUAUGCAAAAACUCAAUGCACAUAAGAUAAGAUAAAAUAAGAUAAGAUAAGAUUUCGUUCGGAUUUUUAACCCCGGAGGGUUAGCCACCCAGGAUAACCCAAGAAAGUCAGUGCGUCAUCGAGGACUGUCUAACUUAUUUCCAUUGGGGUCCUUAAUCUUGUCCCCCAGGAUACGACCCACACCAGUCGACUAACACCCAGGUACCUAUUUGCUGCUAGGUGAACAGGACAAUAGGUGUAAGGAAACGUGACGGAAUUUCCACCCGCCGGGAAUCGAACCCGGGCCCUCCGUGUGUGAAGCGGGAGCUUUAGCCACCGGGCCCUAAAAUCUGGAAUUCAUUACCUGUAAAUAUAAAAGAAACACUACCUGUUUAUAAAUUCAAGUCUCUUCUCAAAGAUCACUUACUCACUCAAAACCAAAUAAAUACUGAAUAACUGAGCCUUAUAAAUUGUAUAUCUUAAAUGUUUCUCACAAUUAUAUCACAUAAAUGUUAAACCUAAAACCCAAUCUAACUUUAUUAUUUUUUAAAUACACUACCUAACAGAAUACUUCAUACGACUGAAUGUACAACAAUGCAUGCAACCAUAUGACCUGUCUUUGUAAUACUCACUUGUGCUUUAUUGUUAUCUGUUUACAAUAAUGUUUUAUCACUGAUUUCAUCAUUGCUUAGUUAAUUUUAAGCCAG